CCUACGGGGGGCAGCAGUCGAGAAUCAUUCACAAUGGGGGAAACCCUGAUGGUGCGACGCCGCGUGGGGGAAUGAAGGUCUCCGGAUUGUAAACCCCUGUCAUGUGGGAGCAAAUUAAAAAGAUAGUACCACAAGAGGAAGAGACGGCUAACUCUGUGCCAGCAGCCGCGGUAAUACAGAGGUCGCAAGCGUUGUUCGGAAUCACUGGGCGUAAAGCGUGCGUAGGCUGUUUCGUAAGUCGGGUGUGAAAGGCGCGGGCUCAACCCGCGGACGGCACAUGAUACUGCGAGACUAGAGUGAUGGAGGGGGAACCGGAAUUCUCGGUGUAGCAGUGAAAUGCGUAGAUAUCGAGAGGAACACUCGUGGCGAAGGCGGGUUCCUGGACAUUAACUGACGCUGAGGCACGAAGGCCAGGGGAGCGAAAGGGAUUAGAUACCCCAGUAGUC
rnacentral:rRNA from 1 species